ensembl:snRNA U6 U6 spliceosomal RNA
GUGCUCACUUUGGCAGCACAUAUAGCAAACCUGGGAUGAUACAGAGAUUAGCAUGGUCCCUGUACAAGGAUGCCACAUAGAAGAUCCCCACGUGAUU